UACGUAGGUGGCAAGCGUUGUCCGGAUUUACUGGGCGUAAAGAGCGCGCAGGCGGUCGUGCAAGUCGCGUGUGAAAGCCCCCGGCUCAACUGGGGAGGGUCACGCGAUACUGCUCGACUCGAAGGCAGGAGAGGGAAGUGGAAUUCCCGGUGUAGUGGUGAAAUGCGUAGAUAUCGGGAGGAACACCAGUGGCGAAGGCGACUUUCUGGCCUGUUCUUGACGCUGAGGCGCGAAAGCUAGGGUAGCAAACGGG
rnacentral:rRNA from 1 species